rnacentral:rRNA from 1 species
CUCCUGGAAACGGGUGGUAAUGCCGGAUGCUCCAGCAUGACGCAUGUCGUGUUGGGAAAGAUUCAUCGGUAUGGGAUGGGGUCGCGUCCUAUCAGCUUGAUGGCGGGGUAACGGCCCACCAUGGCUUCGACGGGUAGCCGGCCUGAGAGGGCGACCGGCCACAUUGGGACUGAGAUACGGCCCAGACUCCUACGGGAGGCAGCAGUGGGGAAUAUUGCGCAAUGGGCGAAAGCCUGACGCAGCGACGCCGCGUGCGGGAUGGAGGCCUUCGGGUUGUAAACCGCUUUUAUCGGGGAGCAAGCGAGAGUGAGUGUACCCGUUGAAUAAGCACCGGCUAACUACGUGCCAGCAGCCGCGGUAAUACGUAGGGUGCAAGCGUUAUCCGGAUUUAUUGGGCGUAAAGGGCUCGUAGGCGGUUCGUCGCGUCUGGUGUGAAAGUCCAUCGCUUAACGGUGGAUCUGCGCCGGGUACGGGCGGGCUGGAGUGCGGCAGGGGAGACUGGAAUUCCCGGUGUAACGGUGGAAUGUGUAGAUAUCGGGAAGAACACC